AACGCUAGCUACAGGCUUAACACAUGCAAGUCGAGGGGAAACGAUAUUGGAAGCUUGCUUCCGAUAGGCGUCGACCGGCGCACGGGUGAGUAACGCGUAUCCAACCUGCCCAUCACUUGGGAAUAACCUUGCGAAAGUAAGACUAAUGCCCAAUGACAUUUAUAGAAGGCAUCAGAAAUGAAUUAAAGAUUUAUCGGUGAUGGAUGGGGAUGCGUCUGAUUAGCUUGUUGGCGGGGUAACGGCCCACCAAGGCGACGAUCAGUAGGGGUUCUGAGAGGAAGGUCCCCCACAUUGGAACUGAGACACGGUCCAAACUCCUACGGGAGGCAGCAGUGAGGAAUAUUGGUCAAUGGGCGAGAGCCUGAACCAGCCAAGUAGCGUGCAGGAUGACGGCCCUAUGGGUUGUAAACUGCUUUUAUAGGGGAAUAAAGUGAGCCACGUGUGGUUUUUUGCAUGUACCCUAUGAAUAAGGACCGGCUAAUUCCGUGCCAGCAGCCGCGGUAAUACGGAAGGUCCGGGCGUUAUCCGGAUUUAUUGGGUUUAAAGGGAGCGUAGGCCGGAGAUUAAGCGUGUUGUGAAAUGUAGAUGCUCAACAUCUGCACUGCAGCGCGAACUGGUUUCCUUGAGUACGCAUAAAGUGGGCGGAAUUCGUGGUGUAGCGGUGAAAUGCUUAGAUAUCACGAAGAACUCCGAUUG
rnacentral:rRNA from 1 species